rnacentral:rRNA from 1 species
GAUGAACGCUAGCUACAGGCUUAACACAUGCAAGUCGAGGGGUAGCAGGGUAGCAAUACCGCUGACGACCGGCGCACGGGUGAGUAACACGGAUCCAACCUUCCCAUAACUCUGGGAUAGCCUUUCAAAAGAAAGAUUAAUACCGGAUGGUACUUUUUCAAGGCAUCUUGAGAAAGUUAAAGAUUUAUUGGUUAUGGAUGGGCAUGCGUUCCAUUAGAUAGCUGGUGAGGUAAUGGCUCACCAAGUCUUCGAUGGAUAAGGGUUCUGGGAGGAAGGGCCCGCACAUGAGUACUGAGACACGGACCAAACUCCGACGGGAGGCAGCAGUAAGGAAUAUUGGGCAAUGGGCGAGAGCCUGAACCAGCCAAGUAGCGUGAAGGAUGAAGGUCCUAUGGAUUGUAAACUUCUUUUAUAGUAGAAUAAAGUGAUCCACGUGUGGAUUUUUGUAUGUAUACUAUGAAUAAGGAUCGGCUAACUCCGUGCCAGCCGCCGCAGUAACAC